rnacentral:rRNA from 1 species
UACGGAGGGAGCUAGCGUUGUUCGGAAUUACUGGGCGUAAAGCGCACGUAGGCGGCUUUGUAAGUUAGAGGUGAAAGCCCGGAGCUCAACUCCGGAACUGCCUUUAAGACUGCAUCGCUUGAAUCCAGGAGAGGUGAGUGGAAUUCCGAGUGUAGAGGUGAAAUUCGUAGAUAUUCGGAAGAACACCAGUGGCGAAGGCGGCUCACUGGACCGGCAUUGACGCUGAGG